rnacentral:rRNA from 1 species
GACGUAGGGUCCAAGCGUUAUCCGGAAUUAUUGGGCGUAAAGAGCUCGUAGGCGGUUUGUCGCGUCUGCCGUGAAAGUCCGGGGCUCAACUCCGGAUUGCGGUGGGUACGGGCAGACUAGAGUGAUGUAGGGGAGACUGGAAUUCCUGGUGUAGCGGUGGAAAUGCGCAGAUAUCAGGAGGAACACCGGUGGCGAAGGCGGCAUCCUGGGACCGACACUGACGCUGAGGAGCGAAAGCCAGGGGAGGCAAACGGG